rnacentral:lncRNA from 1 species
UUUAUUAGUAUGUGCCAUUUUAAUUGUUCUCUCUAGCUCUUCAGAUGAUUAUUCAGUCGUUGAUAUGUUAAUGUACUAAGAAGUGAGUAUUAAUGUGCUUGCUCGACUAAGCUUUAAGAUGCUUAUAAGCACUUAGUCUUAAGGAAUUUGUGGUUUAAAGUAGAUAAAAGUUGUGGGUACCAAAAAAUGUGUAGUUAAAAAUGAUUUUUGACGAUCUUAUAAGAACUCUCAAACAAGCUUUUAAUGAAU